AUAAUGGGUCAGCGACUUAUAUUCUGUAGCAAGGUUAACCGAAUAGGGGAGCCGAAGGGAAACCGAGUCUUAACUGGGCGUUAAGUUGCAGGGUAUAGACCCGAAACCCGGUGAUCUAGCCAUGGGCAGGUUGAAGGUUGGGUAACACUAACUGGAGGACCGAACCGACUAAUGUUGAAAAAUUAGCGGAUGACUUGUGGCUGGGGGUGAAAGGCCAAUCAAACCGGGAGAUAGCUGGUUCUCCCCGAAAGCUAUUUAGGUAGCGCCUCGUGAAUUCAUCUCCGGGGGUAGAGCACUGUUUCGGCAAGGGGGUCAUCCCGACUUACCAACCCGAUGCAAACUGCGAAUACCGGAGAAUGUUAUCACGGGAGACACACGGCGGGUGCUAACGUCCGUCGUGAAGAGGGAAACAACCCAGACCGCCAGCUAAGGUCCCAAAGUCAUGGUUAAGUGGGAAACGAUGUGGGAAGGCCCAGACAGCCAGGAUGUUGGCUUAGAAGCAGCCAUCAUUUAAAGAAAGCGUAAUAGCUCACUGGUCGAGUCGGCCUGCGCGGAAGAUGUAACGGGGCUAAACCAUGCACCGAAGCUGCGGCAGCGACGCUGAUGCGUUGUUGGGUAGGGGAGCGUU
rnacentral:rRNA from 1 species